GGUUUGUGACGAUAAAUUCGAAAGGCUUGUUUCUCAAAACAUUCGAAGUUGCCGCCUGAUUGAGCUUUCGCCUUCGCCAGGCUUGAGAGCUCGUGUUGCUUAUUUUCCUUGGAUGUCCGAGACC